UGGACAGAAAGACCCUAUGAAGCUUUACUGUAACUUGGAAUUGAAAUUGGAUAUUGGUCGCGCAGUAUAAGUGGGAGGCGUUGAAAAUAUUCUUGUGGGAAUAUUGGAGCUAUCAGUGAAAUACCACUCUUCCAAUAUUAAAUUUCUAACUCUGAAUCAUUAUCUGGUCAGAGAACAGUUUUUAGUGGGCAGUUUGACUGGGGCGGUCGCCUCCCAAACAGUAACGGAGGCGUACAAAGGUUUCCUCUGAACGAAUAGAAAUCGUAUCUAGAGUAUAAAGGCAUAAGGAAGCUUGACUGUGAGACCUACAAGUCAAGCAGGGACGAAAGUCGGUCUUAGUGAUCUGACGGUACUGAGUGGAAAGGCCGUCACUCAACGGAUAAAAGUUACUCUAGGGAUAACAGGCU
rnacentral:rRNA from 1 species